rnacentral:lncRNA from 13 species
CUGUGACUGACUUAUUCCUAAAACUAUAUUGUCUUUAAUUUCUUCAAGUUUUGAACAUUUGAUGACCAUUGACCACCUGAGGCAUGCUUUGAUACAAUCUCUAUUCUAGAUGGUGCUAACUAAGACGGUGUGAUGUUUUGAAUCUCGUCGUUAGAACACUGAAUAGUCACUUGAUUAGACCCCUUAAGUGUUGAUUUAUUGAUAAAGAUGUAUCCUCAAUCUGGUUAAUGCA